rnacentral:lncRNA from 1 species
UUUCAGUAUUAUUGCUGUUUCUUUCUUUUCAUUAGUCCAGAAUAGAAUAAGAUUUGUUUUCGGAGAGAGGACAAGAUGGCGGAGGAGUAGGGGGACACGCUCGCCCUCUCCCACAAACACAACAAAAAAAGCACAUCUACAGAAGAAAUGACUCGCACAGAACAACAACCAAUCGCUGGCAGAGGAACCUAAUCUCCAAUAACGGCAAGAAAUUCGUGACAUUAUUGGGCAGAACGGGAGAAAAGAGGAGAGUGAGAGAAGGUGAAUCCGAGCGGGACGGGCGCUCCCGAAAGGGAACUGCGGAGGGGAAAGGGAUCCCGCACCCUGGAAAGUCACCUACCGGGCGAAAGAUCAAACGAACCGGAGGAAUCUCCAGAUGCAGAGAAGAGUGUAGCAGUAAGUUGGAGUACGGAAAAACGAUCAAGAACCCAACGGACCAUCUGAACUACGGGCACAGUCACCAAAAAUUGAGACGCCUGGGUGGGGGCUGGGCACCGAAUCCUCGGCUCCAGAGGUUAGUCCCUGGGCUAGGGGGCGGGGAAGAGCGGAAACUGCUUGGGAGGUCUCUAAACCAUUUGACGGGGCAGAGACUGCCUGGGAGACUAGAAAACAAAGCUGUCGCAGAGGAAGGGAGCAAUACUCUAGGGGCGGGGAAGUGGAAAGCCGCCUCAGAGGGAACCUGGGAGAAGAGCCUGGUCUGCGCCAGUGCUGGGGAGGGAGAGAAGAAGGGGUGGGUCCCCAUAGAAUACCCCCCACGCCACAACAAGCUUACAGGCCCGCUAGCUAGCAGAAAGCUGUGCUUCCCAGUGCAUUCCCUCCCCCCACCCCCACCACCCCCUACGCUCUCGCCGAACCUGGGGCUGCCUGCCAUCCAGGAGGGCUGGCCUCAACAAUUGCCUGAAGCCUACCACCGCAGGGGCUCUCCCUGCACAGGCCUGCUUGCCCUUUGGAGGGGCUACACUUCCACAGAGCAGCACCAAACACCACCAGCCCCUAAAAAAGGCCUGCAGCCCAGAAAAGCUAGAACAAGCCUAGCCAGGCCGUGAAUAGAUCGACCUAAUUCUCUGACGGUUUUUCUGAGACGGGCUCCCCCGGGGAGGAGCCUCUUGAGUCUCCAAGGGCCUUGCUACACGCCCAAGGCCCUAGGGGUGCUAAGACCUAGUGGACCAGCUGCAUAGGACUGCCAGCUCCAGGCAGGACCCCCUGCAGCCCAGAAAAGCUGCAACAAGCCUGGCCGAAUCGGGAAAAGAUCUCAGACGGUCUUUCGGAGUCGGGCUGUCCUGGGGAGG